GCCCGCUAGGUUUUUUGGAGUUCUAUAGAUACUCUCUAAACCUAAAAUUAGGACUUAUCUUGUUUUCUAUCUAAUCAAAAAGCCACGUUUGGGUGAAAGAUCUAAUCUUGAUCAUAUUCUUUUGUGUUUACUUGAUUGCUUUGAUCAUUAAUCAUGUUUAGACAUAGAUCAACUAAUGAUUUAGUAGCUACCAUGAUAAUGAGUGAGUAGAUCUUUGGAUUCAUGGGCUAGAAUGAUUAGGAUGAUUAAGUGAUGAUCUAGAAUGUUUUAGAGUAGAUUAAUAUAUUUUCUUGCUUGAUUGAGUGAUCUUAAUGCUAAUCUAGAGUUGGCCAUUUUAGAUUAGAACUCUAGACAUUUCAUUGCCCGGAAUGUGUUCGA
rnacentral:lncRNA from 1 species